UCUAUGUCCUUUGAGACACGGAAGUUUGAAAUAUUUCAAGGGUUACCUAUACAAGGACGAGAAAGACGUACAACAGGGCUUUUCUUACGACUUCACCGCUGCUCUGGGAAACUACGCUGCUUGGAACACUAACUACACGGACGCCUGCUGCCUUUCGUUUUCGCUAACUUGUAAUACCCGCUGGGACGAACAUUUGCUUGUUUGGGAACACUCGUUCAACAUCGGUGACUAUUCGCCGUUGUGGCUCAACUACUCUGCUUUUGAACGCCUAUUUUUGUGUUAGCUAUUUUAUCGUGUUUGCGUUGUGUCAAUGUGUGUGAGAUUGUCAGAAACGCAAUACAGCCGCCUUGUCGCAUUUUACUGGUUUGAACAAAGGGGACGUUCGUCUAAAUUCACAGAGGAACUCAAGAAGAAGCCAUGCGAAAUCCUCGACGGGAGACGUUCUAAUGGCCAUUUGAACCCAGAGCUCCGAAAAGUCUACAUACCGCUAAAUGAUGGAGGGGGAUAACACUCACACGGCGGCUCGCUUUUGCCCGGCGGUGGCAUCGCAGCAUGAAAGAGAAGGAUUGGAAGUAGCAGUCACAUCAUAUCUGGUGUGACACGGCCAAUGCAGCAGAAUGGAAAGCAAGGUGCGAGAGAAAAAAUAAAGAACCAGACUUUUGCCACAGUAACUGGGGGGCUUGUCAUUUAGGGCUUGAUGUGUAAGCGACUUACUUCCUACCGCCCGUGUUCUUUGGGAGCCUGUUUGCGACUGUAAGAAGUGUUGCUAUUCCCAGCUCUCCAUUAGACAUCCAGUCGGGUGGGCAAAGGACUUAAAGGAAGGAAGGAAAGCAAUUUGACCCCCGACAGCGCGGUUGGGGAAGAGGGUCUUGAACCAUGUCAGCUCCACUCAGGCUCCACUUCCCCUCUGUGUCCUUCCUAUUUUUUCCCCAGUGCCAAGCCGAAACUUUGAAAACAUUCACCUUAAUAGGACCCAGUCAGCGAGAGCUACUCAUACCGUCCGUCAAACUGUGAUCCGCGGUGUCAGGCCCAAGCCGGACUUUGACAGAAUGUCUCCAAACGAACACCGCGGCGGUGUUUUCCCUGCCCUGCACUCAGUUUCUCGCCGUGUAGUCCUCUGGCUGCUUGGCAUCUCCAUCGCACUUCACCUCCUCUCCCUCUGCUCUGGUGCUUGAUUUCACCUCGUGAAGCACCUCCCCGACAUCGGACUGACAGAUGGUCGCAAGCCGGCCUUAUUGUUGUUUUCCUAAUUUAACUCUCCUCCUAUGCCGCAGGUCACAUUAACGUGGAAAACCAUCAGCGAAACUACAGGAAAUAACAUUUUCUCGCUGGACGUACACACGCAUAUACACACACUGACAACUAAGAUUCAUAAGACUUACACUUAUGUUUCACUUUUUGUAUUUCAGAAUUAAAAUUUGAAAAUUUAUCAUUACUAUUAUGGAUGUAUUUGAUAACCCUCUUUUGACACCAAGGGUCAAAUUGACAAGAAAUAUAAGUACAAAAGCAAAACAAUAACAGAAAAUAAAGUUUCUCCACUGGACAUACACACUGGCAUAAGAUUCAUAAAGCUUAAACACAUGUUCCUUUUUUUAAAAUGUGAAAAAAAAUAUUUUUGAUGUAUUUGAGAACCCUCUUGUUGAGCGUCAUAUUGACCCAAAAAAAAAUGUUACAAAAAAUACGUAAAUCAAAUUUUCCACUGUAGAUAAUGAUUUCUUUUUCUCAUGCUUUUUAGAAUAUAUCCACUUUUUGAUCAUAUUACUUGCACUGUAUGCUGUUUUAAUGGUCUUUUUUAAAAUUUUGUUUGUCAUUUUUAUUGUUUCAUGCUGUUUUGUCUAUUUGUUUUCAAAUGCCUUUAAUCAUGUAAAGCACAUUGGGUUACCUCGUGUAUGAAAUGUGCUGUACAAAUGAAUUUGCUUUGCCGUAACUCUUUUUAGUUUUGUUUUUUUUAAUUAAAAUGUUAAUCAUUAUUUUAAUUGUACAGAAUUUGAUAACCCUCUUGAUAAAUUGCAGGUCAAUUUGAAGGAAACAACAACUAAAAAAAAAAAAGAAAAAAAAAGGGAAAAACUCGACUUUUUCUCCUUGGGUGUUAUAAAAUUAGCAAAUCUAGAAACAACAUUUUGGAAAUUAGGAUUACAUUUAACCUAACAACUUUCCUUUCACCUUUUUAGUCCUCCUUACUUGAAAAAUUUGACAUUGUUUGCCAGAUACCUCACCCUUAAGAAACAAAGAGUAUUUCCAAAGUACACAUGGCGCAACAGAAAACAAAUUCCUGCCUGCUUUGUUUGCCUGCAAGUGUUUUUGAUCCAAAAGAGUUGCCGCGUAUCCUCCCCCAACUCCACACUGCAAAUAAAUGCAAAGAAAAUAAACAGUCGGUUUUCCAAAUUCCCAGUGCUGGACAAUCCCAAGACGUCCGUCCGUCCCUUCUUCUUUACUCUGCCUGAAAUAAUACAACUCAUGUCUGCAAGGCCUGAAUCUGAACGGCAUCGAUCGGGGAUAUUGACCAUUCGCUGGAUACAAUUUGCCAUGUUAUUGCACAGGAUGCCGAAACCACAUCGUUCCUUCUUACUAAAUUAGAAGUUCUCCAGUGAUUCCAAUAACAACCGGUCCAGGAUAUGGUCUGCCGUUCACUCAAUGUCAACCCAGAGAGCGCGAGGAGCUCCGUAGAAAAAAGAUGGCUAAUCGCUUACACAUAAAAGACGUACAUUUACACCGUUACGUUAUCUCGAGUAACAUUUGGCAUUAAUUGUACUAGUAGUUCAGGGGUUUUAAACAUAUGGCCCGCAGGCCGGACCUGGCUUGCAAGGAUGUUCAAUCAGGCCCGCAGGAUCAAUUAAAAGUGAAAAAAUGCACAAAUAAGUAUUAAGUAAUAAGUAUAGUAGUAUAUAAGAUGCAAUUCAUGGAUGGACUGGUUGGAUCAGAGUAGAAGACAAUAUUGUUUUGAUCAGAGAAGAAGAGAACAGCACUCUCAGUCUGUCACUGAGAUAGACCCAACACAGCAGACAGUAUUAUAAUCUGCUUCUUGUGACGACUUUGUUUUUACCCUGGUCUCUACCCCUGCCCCACGCCCACAUUAGCCAAAAUGUCAUUAUCCAAAUGGAGAAAAGUAGAAUUUUCAAUGAAAAAAUGGACCACCUCUUAUUUAUUUUAUAGAAAUGCAAAAUGUGUUUGCAACAAGUUUCGGUUUUGAGGGAAUAUAAUAUUCAAGAUUCUUCACAGCGAAAAAUAUGACGGCUUGCAAGGACAGCUAAGAGGAGCUAAGAUCAACGAAUUGUAGGCGGGUCUGAGGAAACAGCAGUCAACUUUCGUCCAGAGCCAACAAGUCAGUGAAACAGCAGUAAAAGCCAGCUAAUUGCUAAUUGGUAGCGAAAUAGCAUUAGCAUCAAAGCCAUAUUUCGACGGUAACUUUGGAAAACGAUGCACGUUGAAGGCGGUUGAACUUGUAUGUCCAGAGAAGCAACAAGAUUUUGCCGAUGUUAGCCUGACGAGGAAUACUACAGCAGAGAGGAUUUCGGACAUAUGUGAAUGAUAAAAGUAAAUUGCACAUUUGUCUGAGGAAAUCUGAGGUGUUUCAUGAAAUGCUUUGUAAAAGGAAUGUUCAUUAAAUCUCAACAUUUUCCUAAUGUUCUU